AUGGCCCCCACGUUGCAGGACGUGUCGUACCUGCUCGGGCUUCCCAUUACGGGUGAAGCUGUUGGCCCGGUUGCCGUACCACCUACCUGGAGGGCGGAGCUUCAGGAGCGGUUUGCUCCAGUGAACCCGCCACUUUUUAUGAAUGUACCUGACGUGCCCGGCCCCGCCAAGAGUUAGGCUCAGGAUCUCCACCAUCUGGCUGGGCAGUACGAGGUGUCGCGAUGUCUGAAGGCAUAUCUUUUGUGGUUGUUCGGCUGGACUCUUUUCUGCAACUCUAGCGGCAAUUAUGUGGACAAGGUUCUUAUGCAGUACGCGCGCGAUUGCGGAUGCGGAGCCGGGCCAGGUACCUGGGUGGAGCUGGGGAUCGGCAGUGCUUGCUGCCACGUACCGAGGCCUUUGCCAGGCCUGUUUGAAGAUGGAGAGGACUGCCAUCAUCAUAAGCUGUCCACUUCUGCUGCAGCUAUGGUCGUACGAGUGAUUUGCCAUUGCACGCCCCCUAAUCAGCGAGGAGCCUUAUCGGCCCGAGAUGUAUGGGAUGUGGCACGAGGAUAGCCCCACGAUGGGCUCGCUUUGGACCCAUCACGGAUGAGCUAGGCACAUCGGCAGGUCCGAAAAGCAUACCCGCAGUUCGUGUCCGAAUUUGAUCGGAUGCGGCCACAGGAUGUCAUCUGGACCCCGUACACCGCUGCGGCUAUCCAGACACGUGCGCCGCACGGGUUGUCCUCCCUCUGCACGCGUGAUGAGGCGUACUGGCUCAUAAAGGGGAACCUAGUGUUCGAUAUUAUCAUCGAGCCGUACUGCGUCGAGCGAGUGAUGAGGCAGUUCGAACGAUGACAGCACUUUCCUCUCUUACCUCGAGCGUUCCAGGCCGUGCCGUGCAACGUACACGAAUAUUCGCGCAGGGGAUAUCAUGCCAACGAGGUCAACUGGGUGGUCAAGCUGCAGGAGUA